UAGAUUGAAGCCAGUUGUAUAGGGUUUUUAGCUGUUAACUAAAGUUUUGUGGGAUAAAUGCCCACCAAUCUAG
rnacentral:tRNA from 1 species